UUAAUCGCGUAGUAUCUUGACGUGAAUACAUAGCGUCUUGAAGGCAGACCCAGGGAACUGAAACAUCUAAGUACCUGGAGGAAGAGAAAGAAAAAUCGAUUCCCUGAGUAGCGGCGAGCGAAACGGGAAGAGCCCAAACCAAGAGGCUUGCCUCUUGGGGUUGUAGGACACUCAAUACGGAGUUACAAAAGAGCGAGUUAGAUGAAGCGACUUGGAAAGGUCCGCCAGAGCAGGUAAAAGCCCUGUAGUCGAAAGUUCGUUCCCUCCUGAGUGGAUCCUGAGUACGGCGGAACACGUGAAAUUCCGUCGGAAUC
rnacentral:rRNA from 1 species